rnacentral:lncRNA from 1 species
CAAACCUCAGCUGCUUGGCAGCAUGACAGCAGCGGUGAGGGCCAUCAGGCUGCUCAGUCUUUCCCUGAGAGUCCAGCUCAGCAAAUUAGACCUGUCCUGCACUGACUUGAUAAACCUGAUGUGCUUCUGGACAAAGUUACCUCUCAUCUGUGAGCAAGUGAUUUGCUUAUUUCUCCCACAGGGCUAUCAGCUCCUCUCUGCUGGAGAUGGGGAAGGAGAUUGGGAGCUGUGGGAACAGAUCCAGGGGACAGAAGCCCACAGA